GACGAACGCUGGCGGCGUGCUUAACACAUGCAAGUCGAACGAAUGGAUUAAGAGCUUGCUCUUAUGAAGUUAGCGGCGGACGGGUGAGUAACACGUGGGUAAUCUGCCCAUAAGACUGGGAUAACUCCGGGAAACCGGGGCUAAUACCGGAUAACAUUUUGAACCGCAUGGUUCGAAAUUGAAAGGCGGCUUCGGCUGUCACUUAUGGAUGGACCCGCGUCGCAUUAGCUAGUUGGUGAGGUAACGGCUCACCAAGGCAACGAUGCGUAGCCGACCUGAGAGGGUGAUCGGCCACACUGGGACUGAGACACGGCCCAGACUCCUACGGGAGGCAGCAGUAGGGAAUCUUCCGCAAUGGACGAAAGUCUGACGGAGCAACGCCGCGUGAGUGAUGAAGGCUUUCGGGUCGUAAAACUCUGCUGUUAGGGAAGAACAAGUGCUAGUUGAAUAAGCUGGCACCUUGACGGUACCUAACCAGAAAGCCACGGCUAACUACGUGCCAGCAGCCGCCGCGG
rnacentral:rRNA from 1 species